rnacentral:rRNA from 1 species
AUUGAACGCUGGCGGCAGGCUUAACACAUGCAAGUCGAGCGAGCGGCGGACGGGUGAGUAAUGUCUGGGAAACUGCCUGAUGGAGGGGGAUCACUACUGGAAACGGUAGCUAAUACCGCAUACCAUCAGAUGCGCCCAGAGGGGAUUGGCUAGUAGGUGGGGUAAGGGCUCACCUGGGCGACGAUCCCUAGCUGGUCUGAGGGGAUGACCAGCACAACUGGAACUGAGACACGGACCAGACUCGUACGGGAGGCAGCAGUGGGGAAUAUUGCACAAUGGGCGCAAGCCUGAUGCAGCCAUGCCGCGUGUGUGAAGAAGGCCUUCGGGUUGUAAAGCACUUUCGGCGAGGAGGCGUUACUCGCAGAAGAAGCACCGGCUAACUCCGUGCCAGCAGCCGCGGUAAUAC